AUUGAACGCUGGCGGCAGGCCUAACACAUGCAAGUCGAACGAGUGGCGGACGGGUGAGUAAUGUCUGGGAAACUGCCUGAUGGAGGGGGAUAACUACUGGAAACGGUAGCUAAUACCGCAUACCAUCAGAUGUGCCCAGAUGGGAUUAGCUAGUGGGUGGGGUAACGGCUCACCAAGGCGACGAUCCCUAGCUGGUCUGAGAGGAGGACCAGCCACACUUGAACUGAGAAACGGUCCAGACUCCUACGGGAGGCAGCAGUGGGGAAUAUUGCACAAUGGGCGCAAGCCUGAUGCAGCCAUUCCGCGGGUAUGAAGAAGGCCCUCGGGUUUUAAAGUACUUUCAGCGGGGAGGCGGUACCCGCAGAAGAAGCACCGGCUAACUCCGUGCCAGCAGCCGCGGGAAUAC
rnacentral:rRNA from 1 species